rnacentral:rRNA from 1 species
CGGACGGGUGAGUAACGCGUGGGCAACCUGCCCCAUACAGGGGGAUAACAGUUAGAAAUGACUGCUAACACCGCAUAAGCGCACAGGGCCGCAUGGCUCGGUGUGAAAAACUCCGGUGGUAUGGGAUGGGCCCGCGUCUGAUUAGCCAGUUGGCGGGGUAACGGCCCACCAAAGCGACGAUCAGUAGCCGACCUGAGAGGGUGACCGGCCACAUUGGGACUGAGACACGGCCCAAACUCCUACGGAAGGCAGCAG